UUCUCAUAUGAUCACUGAAGUUAAGCAACGUUGAGCCUGGUCAGUACCUAGAUUGGUGACCGCUUGGGAAUAUCAAGUGCCGUAGGC